AUCAACUUUCGAUGGUAGGAUAGAGGCCUACCAUGGUGGUAACGGGUAACGGGGUGUUAGGGCACGACACCGGAGAGGGAGCCUGAGAAACGGCUACCACAUCCAAGGAUGGCAGCAGGCGCGCAAAUUACCCAAUCCCGACACGGGGAGGUAGUGACAAUAAAUAACAAUACGGGGUUCUUUAGGAUCUCGUAAUUGGAAUGAGUACAAUUUAAAUCUCUUAACGAGGAACAAUUGGAGGGCAAGUCUGGUGCCAGCAGCCGCGGUAAUUCCAGCUCCAAUAGCGUAUAUUAAAGUUGUUGCAGUUAAAAAGCUCGUAGUUGAAUUUCGGGGUCAGUAGGUUGGUCGUGCCACCGGUACGUACUGGUCUCACUGAUUCCUCCUUCCUGAAGAACCGUAAUGCCAUUAAUUUGGUGUUGCGGGGAAACAGGACUGUUACUUUGAAAAAAUUAGAGUGUUUAAAGCAAGCUAACGCUUGAAUACAUUAGCAUGGAAUAAUGAAAUAGGACGAUCGAUCCUAUUUUGUUGGUUUCUAGGAUUGACGUAAUGAUUAAUAGGGAUAGUUGGGGGCAUUAGUAUUCAAUUGUCAGAGGUGAAAUUCUUGGAUUUA
rnacentral:rRNA from 1 species